UACGGGGGGGAGCAAGCGUUGUUCGGAUUUACUGGGCGUAAAGGGCGCGUAGGCGGUCGUGACAAGUCACUUGUGAAAUCUCCGGGCUUAACUCGGAACGGUCAAGUGAUACUGUCGGACUAGAGUACAGAAGGGGCAACUGGAAUUCUCGGUGUAGCGGUGAAAUGCGUAGAUAUCGAGAGGAACACCUGCGGCGAAGGCGGGUUGCUGGGCUGAUACUGACACUGAGGCACGAAAGCGUGGGGGAUCAAACAGGG
rnacentral:rRNA from 1 species